rnacentral:lncRNA from 1 species
UUUAAUGAAAAACGGACAACCCAGAUCGAGCUAGAAAGAUCUAACGGUCAGGGCGAAUGGAUAUAAAAAGAAAAAAUUUUAGGGUUUCUCUUCAUUUUGAAGAGUAGUCAAAAAAGAGAGGAGCGAUCGGGAAGAGAAAGAAGAAGAGGGGGUCGUUCAGGGAAGUCGAGAGAGAAGAAAGAAGGAGAGGAAAGGAAGAAGGAGGCUGGAGAAGGAGAAAAUGAAGGAGAAAAAAAAGAGUGGUCGAGCAAAAGAGGGAAGAAAAAAGGAGAAAGAAUGAAGAAAGGAGGAGAAAAAAGGAAGAGAGAGGUCGACAGAAGAAGGGAAAGGAGAAAAAAAGGAGGAAUGAGAAGAAAAGAGAGAAAGGGCCAAGUGGGAAAGAGAAGGGGAGCCAAAGUGCGCCCGCCGCGAGGGA